rnacentral:rRNA from 1 species
UGGGGAAUUUUGGACAAUGGGCGAAAGCCUGAUCCAGCAAUGCCGCGUGUGUGAAGAAGGCCUUCGGGUUGUAAAGCACUUUUGUCCGGAAAGAAAUCCUUGGCUCUAAUACAGUCGGGGGAUGACGGUACCGGAAGAAUAAGCACCGGCUAACUACGUGCCAGCAGCCGCGGUAAUACGUAGGGUGCAAGCGUUAAUCGGAAUUACUGGGCGUAAAGCGUGCGCAGGCGGUUUGCUAAGACCGAUGUGAAAUCCCCGGGCUCAACCUGGGAACUGCAUUGGUGACUGGCAGGCUAGAGUAUGGCAGAGGGGGGUAGAAUUCCACGUGUAGCAGUGAAAUGCGUAGAGAUGUGGAGGAAUACCGAUGGCGAAGGCAGCCCCCUGGGCCAAUACUGACGCUCAUGCACGAAAGCGUGGGGAGCAAAACAGGAUUAGAUACCCUGGUAGUCCACGCCCUAAACGAUGUCAACUAGUUGUUGGGGAUUCGUUUCCUUAGUAACGUAGCUAACGCGUGAAGUUGACCGCCUGGGGAGUACGGUCGCAAGAUUAAAACUCAAA